AAAUUGAAGAGUUUGAUCAUGGCUCAGAUUGAACGCUGGCGGCAGGCCUAACACAUGCAAGUCGAACGGUAACAGGAAGCAGCUUGCUGCUUUGCUGACGAGUGGCGGACGGGUGAGUAAUGUCUGGGAAACUGCCUGAUGGAGGGGGAUAACUACUGGAAACGGUGGCUAAUACCGCAUAACGUCGCAAGACCAAAGAGGGGGACCUUCGGGCCUCUUGCCAUCAGAUGUGCCCAGAUGGGAUUAGCUUGUUGGUGAGGUAACGGCUCACCAAGGCGACGAUCCCUAGCUGGUCUGAGAGGAUGACCAGCCACACUGGAACUGAGACACGGUCCAGACUCCUACGGGAGGCAGCAGUGGGGAAUAUUGCACAAUGGGCGCAAGCCUGAUGCAGCCAUGCCGCGUGUAUGAAGAAGGCCUUCGGGUUGUAAAGUACUUUCAGCGGGGAGGAAGGUGUUGUGGUUAAUAACCGCAGCAAUUGACGUUACCCGCAGAAGAAGCACCGGCUAACUCC
rnacentral:rRNA from 1 species